rnacentral:rRNA from 1 species
UACGAAGGGGGCUAGCGUUGCUCGGAAUUACUGGGCGUAAAGCGCACGUAGGCGGAUUGUUAAGUCGGGGGUGAAAUCCUGGAGCUCAACUCCAGAACUGCCUUUGAUACUGGCGAUCUCGAGUCCGGGAGAGGUGAGUGGAACUGCGAGUGUAGAGGUGAAAUUCGUAGAUAUUCGCAAGAACACCAGUGGCGAAGGCGGCUCACUGGCCCGGUACUGACGCUGAGGUGCGAAAGCGUGGGGAGCAAACAGG